rnacentral:rRNA from 1 species
UCCUACGGGAGGCAGCAGUGGGGAAUAUUGGACAAUGGGCGAAAGCCUGAUCCAGCCAUGCCGCGUGUGUGAAGAAGGUCUUCGGAUUGUAAAGCACUUUAAGCUGGGAGGAAGGGCAGUAAGUUAAUACCUUGCUGUUUUGACGUUACCAGCAGAAUAAGCACCGGCUAACUCUGUGCCAGCAGCCGCGGUAAUACAGAGGGUGCAAGCGUUAAUCGGAAUUACUGGGCGUAAAGCGCGCGUAGGUGGUUUGAUAAGUUGGAUGUGAAAGCCCUGGGCUCAACCUGGGAACUGCAUCCAAAACUGUCUGGCUAGAGUACGGUAGAGGGUGGUGGAAUUUCCUGUGUAGCGGUGAAAUGCGUAGAUAUAGGAAGGA